UAGAGGUGGGAACUCUGGAGAGACUGCCGAUGACAAAUCGGAGGAAGGUGGGGAUGACGUCAAAUCAUCAUGCCCUUUAUGUCUUGGGCUACACACGUGCUACAAUGGUUGGUACAACGAGAAGCGAGAUAGAGAUGUUAAGCGAAACUCUAAAAACCAAUCUCAGUUCGGAUUGUAGGCUGCAACUCGCCUACAUGAAGUCGGAGUUGCUAGUAAUCGCGAAUCAGAAUGUCGCGGU
rnacentral:rRNA from 1 species